rnacentral:rRNA from 1 species
GACGAACCGUGCGAACGUUAUUCGGAAUCACUGGGCUUAAAGCGCGUGUAGGCGGGCCAUCACGUCGGUCGCUGAAAGCCCCCGGCUCAACCGGGGAACCGGCGCCGAUACGAGUGGCCUGGAGGGGGGUAGGGGGACCUGGAACUUCCGGUGGAGCGGUGAAAUGCGUUGAGAUCGGAAGGAACGCCCGUGGCGAAAGCGAGGUCCUGGACCGCAUCUGACGCUGAGACGCGAAAGCCAGGGGAGCGAACGGG